rnacentral:rRNA from 1 species
CAGUAGCCGCGGGAACACGAAGGGUGCAAGCGUUACUCGGAAUUACUGGGCGUAAAGCGUGCGUAGGUGGUGGUUUAAGUCCGUUGUGAAAGCCCUGGGCUCAACCUGGGAAUUGCGAUGGAUACUGGGCGACUAGAGUGCGGUAGAGGAUAGUGGAAUUUCCGGUGUAGCAGUGAAAUGCGUAGAGAUCGGAAGGAACAUCUGUGGCGAAGGCGACUAUCUGGGCCAACACUGACACUGAGACACGAAAGCGUGGGAGCAAACAGGAUUAGAUACCCGCGUAGUCCCUGUCUCUUAUACA